rnacentral:rRNA from 1 species
AUUGAACGCUAGCGGGAUGCUUUACACAUGCAAGUCGAACGAGUUGCGGACGGGUGAGUAAUAUAUCGGAACGUGCCCAGUAGCGGGGGAUAACUACUAGAAAGAGUGGCUAAUACCGCCUAAUAUUAGAGAGGCCCAUAACGGAUUAGCUAGUUGGUGGGGUAAAGGCUCACCAAGGCAACAAUCCGUAGCUGGUUUGAGAGGACGACCAGCCACACUGGGACUGAGACACGGCCCAGACUCCUACGGGAGGCAGCAGUGGGGAAUUGUGGACAAUGGGGGAAACCCUGAUCCAGCCAUCCCGCGUGUAUGAGAAGGCCUUCGGGUUGUAAAGUACUUUUGUCAGAGAAGCGGUAUCUGCAGAAUAAGCACCGGCUAACUACGUGCCAGCAGCCGCGGUAAUUC